GUUUGACAUUCAAAAAUACUUUUGCACACAUUUUUUUAUUUUCGGAAUUUUCCAUGACUUUAUGAAAUAUUCUAUUGCAUUAUUGUAUGAUUGAAUACUUUUCCUUAACCCGGGAUUACCCACGUAGGGGUCUAGUGCCGGGAUGUACCUGUUAAUCCCGGGUUAAAUGCGAAUUGACAUUCAGGAAUUAAGUUUUUCAAGGAUUUUUCGCAUUUUCAUACGUCUUUUUUUUGAAAAGGAGUUUUUCAAAUAUGUACCUUGAAUAUUAUUGGCAAGAGAUUAAGCUGCAACUUUUAUAGGCUUUACGUGGUUUGGAUACUAGGAUAAUUUAAGCAAACUUUUAUUGUAUUAAGUAUUAGCUAAUAGUAUAAUCUCACGUUAUUGUAGGUAAAAUAAAAGAUAUAUAUAUAAAGAUAAAAAAUAAAAUGAUCUUCAAAAAACUUAAAAAUGUGAAGUGUAGAGAUAUGAUGACGUCGAAAACAAAGUAUGGCCGAACUGUAAAUGAUAAUACAGGUCGAUAAUACUCGAUAAUACAGAUCAAUUGUUAUCAAAUUGAGAGUGAAGCGUGAGCAGACCAUUAAUAUAUUUCUUUAAAUUUGAGUUUGCAUCUGUUGCAUCAAUUUACAAUUGCUAGGCUAUUAACGACGACUUGCCCUGAAAUUAUAAAAGAGUAAAUACACAAGUUACAAAUAGGUAAUUUUGAAGAGUUGAAAAAUGGCAGUUAGCUCAGCCAUAUAGAUUGAGAUAUUGUCAGGAAGUUUGCUUUCAAAGGAAAAAUCAGAGCUUGUUAAAGUUGUAUCUGUACGGUAUCAGUACCCAUACGGGCAUGGCAGCAGCAUUGACGAGGACUGGUAGAGGAACCAAAUGCAUCGGCCAGAUCCAUAUACGACCGGUUCCUUCUUACAAUUACAGGCGUCUUCAACUAUCCACUCUAGCAUGAAGAAGUGCUUUAAACACCCUUCAUGCGAAUUGAUAGGAGUUUCGUUCUCCAAUCCAUUGGAGCUUGGUUCCGGUUCACUGCGAUCGGCCGGCUCGCUGUUGCUGUUCGCAUCCGCACUUGCGUGCAGAGCCCUUCUUGGAAGUAAGCAUCACACGCAGCAAUGACCAAGCAAGAUCUGACAGCACAACUGAAAGUAAUUAUACACAGGAAGCAUCAAUCACUGUAAACUCCGCAAUCAAAUCUAUAAAUAAUCUUUGCAAAACACAGGCCUGAAGGUUGCAUCGACAAGGGUCACAGUAGCUGGUAUCGAAAGAAUAACCAACAUGAUAAGGGACGGUUUAAAUUGAAAUAUCUUCGAGGUGCAACAGCUUUUGGGCCAGUAUCUCAUGUUUCUCGAUGCCCAUCAUCACUGCAAACCAGCCGAACGUGCCACUGCCGCUAAGUCCUAAGUAUUUUACAAUACAUACGUUUUGUCGAUCCACAAUUCCAUUAGCAUAGGAUGGUAGAUAUGCUCAUUGGUGCAAGUCUAUUCUGGAAACUCUUGUAUAUAGGAUAACAUGGGCUAGAUGUACAGUUGGUGUUACAAAAAACGCAACUUGAUUGAGUAUUCAGAGGACAAUUGCCAAUUAAUUAAAAGUCAACUUCUUGUAUCAACCACGUAUCAUUUAUUCUUCGUUAGCGAGGAGUUGAACCUGUAAAAAUUCUGGGAGCUCGAGAGAACUGCACGGGCCGAAGCUACGUGAGCAACAAUUCAACGAUAUGAUUCAACAAGAUACAUCUCGACGAUACAUAGUAAGCAUUCAAUUCAAGGACAAUUUAAAGCAUCUAGGAGAUCCUCACGAGCAGGCAGAAUAUUCAUCGAUUUCACGCAUUAAACAAGAACGCAAAUUAAACAAGAAUCCAGAUCUACGAAAACAGUACACAGCAUUUCUGAAUGAACAGCAUAUGAUAAGGAUAAUUGAGCUCAUGACUAAGGAACUGCCAGCCUUUUACUACUUUUCCCGCGUAGUCUCCAAGGACAGUAGCACCACUACAAAAAUUUGAAUCGUUUUCGAUGGUUCAGCUUAGGACUUAUCUCACUCAACAACAUCCAACGAAUAAGACCAACAAUCCAGAGCGAUCUGUCUUUCAUUCAGACAACAUAAAUACAUCAUAUCCGCCGAUAUCGAUAAAAUAUAUUGUCAAAUGUUAGGCCCAGAAUAGACUUUCAACGAAUUUUAUGGCAGUCGAAUCCAAAUGCACCAGUUGGCAUAUACGAAUUAAGCAUAGUUACGUAUGGCACAGCAUCAAUCCCAUUUUUGGCGACACAAGUACUUUAGAAAAUAGAAAAAAAUUUCCCACCCUUCCAGAUAUUACUCCGUUCUGAUUACUAUCUAUUCCUUUUAUUUAAAAAAUGAAACCUCUGCGAUGAAAGAUUUGCCUCAAUAAAUAAUAUAAGAAUACAUCUUGAACAAUAUUUCGCUAGCAAACCCCAAAAUGUUUUGGAAAGAUGAUACGUAUUACGAAACUUCUAAAGAGAUGAAGGAAGCUUCAUAAUAUCAUAAUAAAUCAGAACAUAUAUAAUUCAAUAUAUGAUAAAUAUAUCAUCAAAAGGAUAUAAAACAUACUGUAUAUAGAUUAUUUAUUAAUGAAACAAAAGAAACUUUUGGAACAACCUAAUAUAAUUCAUGUGUUAUAUUCACGUAUUGUAUAUGUAAAAUUGUAGAAGAUGCAUCGAUAACCAUAACACGUCGUAUCGUAGCAUAAAUAUAGAGUCGUGUAAAAGUUGUGAAAGAAUUUGCAUAAAUAAUAAUUUAAAAAAGUAUUUGACUUAAAGUUUAUUUUUUGGUAGAAUAAUUCUUAUGUAAUAGUAUUAUCUGUUUUAAAUAAAUAUUUAUUAGCAAUAUAAUAUUUGAUAUUACACGCAGUAGUCUAUUAUUACAAUAAGUUAUAUAGUCAAAAUCCUUUUUUUUGCACAUGUCUCUUUGUUCUCGCUUACAUUACUUUUUUCUUCUUAUACAUCGUGCUACAUUCUGUUAUCACGAUGUUACUUCAUAGAUUUGUACAUAUGAUAAAUCAUUUAUGACACACCAUGAACUACGUUUUUUAUAGAUAUUGUUAUUGUUUGUAUUAUACAUUGAAAAAAUAUUAUUUUUGCACGUGGCAUUUCUUGAUGAAUAAUACGCUAAACAAUGAUCUUGCAAUAAAUUCGUGUUUUUCUCAUUGCCACAACUCCAUCGAUUAUAAUUUUCAACUUUUCUAAUGGGACAUUUUCUUCUACGUAUUUUUUGAAAAUAAAAAAAAUAAAACAAAAUUUUAAGGAACUUCUUUGUAUAAAAAUUGUCGAAACACACAUAUAUAUAUACAACAAGAGUAUAUUCAAAAAUGCUUUGCAAGCACUUAAAUCUUAAUUCACGAUGAAGAAUAAAUUCUAUUAGAAAAAAAAACGCUCAACUUGUUGGAAAAAAAUCUGUGGAUAAUACAAAAGCAUAUACAAUUUAUUCAUGUAUUAACUUUAUUUCUGUUUAUAAUUUCAAAAAUUAACACCACACACACACACGCACGCACGUAUACGUAUUUAGUACAAAUAACAUUUCUUUUGGAAAUUUUUCUAUAAUUAUCUGUAAUAAUAAAUUUAUUAGGUAAAAACAAGCCAAAAAAUAAGCGUGCAUAUGCAUAUGACGUAGAACAGUAAUCAGGCAUAAGGCCCAAAAGUUUCCUUCCAUGUACUAUUGGAAGUAUGCUAUUUAUUUAAUAGCAUUUAUAUUUUUUUUUAUUACAUAAAGAAUUACAAUCGUCAGAAGAAGUUUUCAAAAUGUUCUUCAUGUUGUGCUAGGCAAUAGUUCAAAUUCUAUUUUCACUUUCCUAAGGAAACAGAUUGUGCUACCUAGCACACGAUGGAAAACAUUUUUGAAACUUUUUCUGACGAUUGUGUUAUGCUAUUGUAAUUUAUCAUGUAAUAAAAAAAUAACAUAAAAAAGUGUAAUUGUUAUUGAUUUCAUCUCAUCAUCUAGAAAAUUAUUAGAAGAAUUAGGAAAGUUUCGUUCGUACCAUUUAACUUUCUAUCCUAUUUUAACUUUGAAAAUUGAUACAAGUUCCUAUUUUAUUAAAUAUC